AUGGGCCUAGUUUCCCUCAGCUGCGCUGCCCGGCCCAAUUGUCUUCACUUUGUUUUAAGCCCAGCCAGCAAUCUAUCUCCUCCCCAUCGUGCAUCUUCGUUCGUCGAACCAAAGCGGUACGGAAGGGAAGCAGGCGCCGUCUCCGUCGCCGUCGUCUCGUUCGUCCCCAAAUCUUCACCGAGCUUCCGCUCCGCUCUCGCCCCGCGCAGCAACGCGGAGGAAGGAAUGGACAAGUAUCACAGCAACACCCGCUUUGCACCCCUUAGAGACGCUCCAUUUGCUCUCCGUGGUGCCUUUGGUACCUCCAACUCAUCUUUCAACAACAUGGAUGGCCUUAGACACUCCUCAAGCAUUGGGCAAGCAAAGAGCUACACAUCUUCUCCCUUAGGAGCUCUGCGACAGAAGAUGCCUCCAUCUGGAAACCGAUCCCUACAUACAAGUCGUCCCCUGUCUGCUCCUGUUGCGAACCGCCCACUGUCUCCCCAUCUUCCUCUGAAGAAACCACAGCUGAGCGCCACGUUCUCCAUCUCACACCGUAUAUUUGGCGUUGCGCUGGGUGCUGCCAUCAUAUCCAUUCCUCUUGCUACCAGGUUUGGCGUCAUGUUUGAGGUCUGA
rnacentral:rRNA from 1 species